GAGCAGGUCUUUCGCGACUGACGACUGCGAACCAUGUCAGGCGGGGAACCGAGCAGCAUUAAGCAGCUGCGGUCAGGGCGCGAGAGGUUGCCUGCUUUGA
rnacentral:SRP_RNA from 1 species